rnacentral:rRNA from 1 species
UAGUUACCAGCACGUUAUGGUGGGCACUCUAAGGAGACUGCCGGUGACAAACCGGAGGAAGGUGGGGAUGACGUCAAGUCAUCAUGGCCCUUACGGCCUGGGCUACACACGUGCUACAAUGGUCGGUACAAAGGGUUGCCAAGCCGCGAGGUGGAGCUAAUCCCAUAAAACCGAUCGUAGUCCGGAUCGCAGUCUGCGACUCGACUGCGUGAAGUCGGAAUCGCUAGUAAUCGUGAAUCAGAAUGUCACGGUGAAUACGUUCCCGGGCCUU